rnacentral:rRNA from 1 species
UACGUAGGGUGCGAGCGUUGUCCGGAAUUAUUGGGCGUAAAGAGCUCGUAGGCGGUUUGUCGCGUCGGCCGUGAAAACUUGGGGCUUAACCCCCGAGCCUGCGGUCGAUACGGGCAGACUUGAGUUCGGCAGGGGAGACUGGAAUUCCUGGUGUAGCGGUGAAAUGCGCAGAUAUCAGGAGGAACACCGGUGGCGAAGGCGGGUCUCUGGGCCGAUACUGACGCUGAGGAGCGAAAGCGUGGGGAGCGAACAGG